rnacentral:rRNA from 1 species
GACGAAGGAUCCAAGCGUUAUCCGGAUUCAUUGGGUUUAAAGGGUGCGUAGGCGGGUUUAUAAGUCAGUGGUGAAAGCCGAUCGCUUAACGAUCGAACUGCCAUUGAUACUGUAGACCUAGAGUACAGAUGAUGUUGGCGGAAUAUGACAUGUAGCGGUGAAAUGCAUAGAUAUGUCAUAGAACACCGAUUGCGAAGGCAGCUGACAAAACUGUAACUGACGCUGAGGCUCGAAAGUGCGGGGAUCAAACAGG